rnacentral:lncRNA from 1 species
UGCAAGAUAUAGAAUUUAAUCUAACAUCCAUACUAUUGGUUGAACAUAGGCGUUUAAAGAUAUCAUCAUAAAAAAAUAGUACCUUGAGAGUUUAAUGUGUACCUUAACCUUGGAGCUUUUUCAUUACGAGUGAUUUUUGGUUUGUCUACUGGAGUUGAAAGCAGAUCGAUCUCAACAAUUGGAGGUGGUUCUUCAGCAUCAUCUUGCAAUCCCUCUAGCUCUCCAUCAUGUGGAACAUGCAAUCCAUUAGCAAUAUUAAUAGUCACCUCUUAUUCGAAGUCCUCAUUAUUUGAGAUCUCACCC